rnacentral:tRNA from 1 species
GGGGAUAUUGCUCAGUUGGUAGAGUGCGUGCCUCGAAUGCACAAGGCCCUGGCUUCAGUUCCCAGUACCACA